AUAUCAUAAGCGGAGGAAAAGAAACCAACAGGGAUUGCCCUAGUAACGGCGAGUGAAGCGGCAACAGCUCAAAUUUGAAAUCUGGCUCUUUUAGAGUCCGAGUUGUAAUUUGCAGAGGGCGCUUUGGCUUUGGCAGCGGUCCAAGUUCCUUGGAACAGGACGUCACAGAGGGUGAGAAUCCCGUACGUGGUCGCUAGCUAUUGCCGUGUAAAGCCCCUUCGACGAGUCGAGUUGUUUGGGAAUGCAGCUCUAAAUGGGAGGUAAAUUUCUUCUAAAGCUAAAUAUUGGCCAGAGACCGAUAGCGCACAAGUAGAGUGAUCGAAAGAUGAAAAGCACUUUGGAAAGAGAGUCAAACAGCACGUGAAAUUGUUGAAAGGGAAGCGCUUGCAGCCAGACUUGCUUGCAGUUGCUCAUCCGGGCUUUUGCCCGGUGCACUCUUCUGCAGGCAGGCCAGCAUCAGUUUGGGCGGUGGGAUAAAGGUCUCUGACACGUUCCUUCCUUCGGGUUGGCCAUAUAGGGGAGACGUCAUACCACCAGCCUGGACUGAGGUCCGCGCAUCUGCUAGGAUGCUGGCGUAAUGGCUGUAAGCGGCCCGUCUUGAAACACGGACCAAGGAGUCUAACAUCUAUGCGAGUGUUUGGGUGUCAAGCCCGAGCGCGUAAUGAAAGUGAACGGAGGUGGGAACCCGCAMGGGUGCACCAUCGACCGAUCCUGAAGUUUACGGAAGGAUUUGAGUAAGAGCAUGGCUGUUGGGACCCGAAAGAUGGUGAACUAUGCUUGAAUAGGGUGAAGCCAGAGGAAACUCUGGUGGAGGCUCGCAGCGGUUCUGACGUGCAAAUCGAUCGUCAAAUUUGGGCAUAGGGGCGAAAGACUAAUCGAACUAUC
rnacentral:rRNA from 1 species